AUACUUACCUUGUUGGCCCGAGGACGCUCAUCAAUGUCCAAAGGUACAUGGCUUGGCUGCAUUGCACAUCGCGGACCGGGACAUGUAUGCCUCUCCUUCGGGGGCGGCACUGGCGCAAUUUUUGCUGGCAUACCUUGCUAUCGCUUGCGAUACGCAAAC
rnacentral:snRNA from 1 species